rnacentral:rRNA from 1 species
AACGAACGCUGGCGGCAGGCCUAACACAUGCAAGUCGAGCGGACCCUUCGGGGUUAGCGGCGGACGGGUGAGUAACGCGUGGGAACGUGCCCUUUGCUUCGGAAUAGCCCUGGGAAACUGGGAGUAAUACCGGAUACGCCCUUUUGGGGAAAGAUUUAUCGGCGAAGGAUCGGCCCGCGUUGGAUUAGGUAGUUGGUGGGGUAAUGGCCUACCAAGCCGACGAUCCAUAGCUGGUUUGAGAGGAUGAUCAGCCACACUGGGACUGAGACACGGCCCAGACUCCUACGGGAGGCAGCAGUGGGGAAUCUUAGACAAUGGGGGAAACCCUGAUCGAGCCAUGCCGCGUGAGCGAUGAAGGCCUUAGGGUUGUAAAGCUCUUUCAACGGGGAAGAUAAUGACGGUACCCGGAGAAGAAGCCCCGGCUAACUCCGUG